rnacentral:rRNA from 1 species
GCCUACGGGCGCAGCAGUGAGGAAUAUUGGUCAAUGGGCGGGAGCCUGAACCAGCCAAGUCGCGUGAGGGAAGACGGUCCUAUGGAUUGUAAACCUCUUUAGGCGGGGAGCAAUGCCGGGCACGUGUGCCCGGAGGGAGAGUACCCGCAGAAUAAGCAUCGGCUAACUCCGUGCCAGCAGCCGCGGUAAUACGGAGGAUGCGAGCGUUAUCCGGAUUUAUUGGGUUUAAAGGGUGCGUAGGCGGAUUUUUAAGUCAGCGGUAAAAUGUCCGGGCUCAACCCGAGCCGGCCGUUGAAACUGGGGAU